rnacentral:rRNA from 1 species
GACGAACGCUGGCGGCGUGCUUAACACAUGCAAGUCGAACGGUGAAGCGCCUUCCUUUUUGGUGGGUGUGGAUGAGUGGCGAACGGGUGAGUAACACGUGAGUAACCUGCCCCCUUCUUCUGGAUAACCGCAUGAAAGUGUGGCUAAUACGGGAUAUUCUGGGUCUGUCGCAUGAUGGGUCUGGGAAAGAUAUUGUUUCGGUGGGGGAUGGGCUCGCGGCCUAUCAGCUUGUUGGUGGGGUGAUGGCCUACCAAGGCGGUGCCGGGUCGCCGGCCUGGGAGGGUGGACGGUCACACUGGGACGGAGACACGGGCCAGACUCCGACGGGAGGCAGCAGUGGGGAGUAUGGGACAAUGGGCGGAAGCCUGAUGCAGCGACGCCGCGUGAGGGAUGGAGGCCUUCGGGUUGUGAACCUCUUUCGCCAGUGAAGCAGGCUUGCCUCGUUUGUGGGUGGGUUGACGGUAGCUGGAUAAGAAGCGCCGGCUAACUACGUG